rnacentral:rRNA from 1 species
UAACUGAAGAGUUUGAUCAUGGCUCAGAUUGAACGCUGGCGGCAGGCUUAACACAUGCAAGUCGAGCGGGGAAGGUAGCUUGCUAC